AGUCCUGUAACUCAGUGGUUAGAGCAUUCGUCUAACAAGUGAAAGACCUGGGUUCGAUUCCCGGCAGGGCGA